rnacentral:rRNA from 1 species
CCUACGGGUGGCAGCAGUGCGGGAUAUUGCACAAGGGGGGAAACUCUGAUGCAGCGACGCCGCGUGAGUGAAGAAGUAUUUCGGUAUGUAAAGCUCGAGCAGCAGGGAAGAAAAUGACAGUACCUGACCAAGAAGCCACGGCUAACUACGGGCCAGCAGCCGCGGUAAUACGUAGGGGGCAAGCGUUAUCCGGAUUUACUGGGGGUAAAGGGAGCGUCGACGGUUCUGGAAGUCUGGAGUGAAAGCCCGGGGCCCAACCCCGGGACGGCUUGGGAAACUGUGUAACGGGAGUCCAGGAGGGGCCGGCGGAAUUCCUGGUGUAGCGGUGACCUGCGUAGAUAUCAGGAG